rnacentral:rRNA from 1 species
AUUCCAGCUCCAACAGCGUAUAUUAAAGUUGUUGCAGUUAAAACGCUCGUAGUCGGAUUUCGGGGCCUGCCUGCCGGUCUGCCGAUGGGUAUGCACUGGCAGGCGCGUCCUUCCUUCCGGAGACUGUCCCUACUCUUAACUGAGCGGGGUCGGGAGACGGAUCGUUUACUUUGAAAAAAUCAGAGUGUUUCAAGCAGGCAGCUCGCUCUUGCAUGGAUUAGCAUGGGAUAAUGAAAUAGGACUUUGGUGCUAUUUUGUUGGUUUCGAACACCGAAGUAAUGAUUAACAGGGACAGUCAGGGGCACUCGUAUUCCGCCGAGAGAGGUGAAAUUCUCAGACCAGCGGAAGACGAACUACUGCGAAAGCAUUUGCCAGGGAUGUUUUCAUUA